GGCGGCAUGGCCGAGAGGUAAGGCGGACGACUGCAAAUCCUUGUUUCCUUGUUCAAAUCCGGGUGUCGCUU
rfam:Beta vulgaris subsp. vulgaris contig117869.1, whole genome shotgun sequence.